rfam:Asian citrus Psyllid, Diaphorina citri - Florida Strain, whole genome shotgun sequence.
GCUCCCAUGGCAUAGUGGUCAUUGCACUCGCCUUGCACGCGGGAGAUCCGGGUUCGAUUCCCGACGGUGUUA